AAGCACGAAGGGGAGCCUGGGCUCCCCUUCAAGGUGUGUUGCUAUGCUCUUUUUUGUUGUUCGGGAGGCCUGUUGUUGUUUUUGGCGACCUGACCCUUCACAUCUUUUUUGAGCGAUCCGCAGACGGGAUCAAGAGCAAACGUAUUUUUUUGAGCGCUGAUGACACUUUCAUCGUAGUGAUCCAACCAGUUCGGCAACUGCCUCGGGGCAGUU
rnacentral:sRNA from 1 species